rnacentral:rRNA from 1 species
GAUGGGGGGGGAGUGGCGCACGGGUGAGUAACGCGUGGGAACCUACCCUUUGGUACGGGACAACGCAGGGAAACUUGCGCUAAUACCGUAUGAGCUCUUUGGAGGAAAGAUUUAUCGCCGAAGGAUGGGCCCGCGUCGGAUUAGGUAGUUGGUGAGGUAACGGCUCACCAAGCCGACGAUCCGUAGCUGGUCUGAGAGGAUGAUCAGCCACACUGGGACUGAGACACGGCCCAGACUCCUACGGGAGGCAGCAGUGGGGAAUAUUGGACAAUGGGCGCAAGCCUGAUCCAGCCAUGCCGCGUGAGUGACGAAGGCCUUAGGG